CAUUUUAAAUUAAUAUACUGUCCGAACAAGCUUAACAGAGAAUCCAAACCGUGCCAUCAUCACACAUCAAGCAGAUGAGGUUACAUAUGGAACAAUGAAAUUAACAGUUCACCUGCUGUGGCCUGAACGUAGUCUCACACUUUCCUCCUGGUGCGCAUGGACUUGUGCAGUCCCUCUUUUUUCACCUCUUUUAUCAACACCAUCGUCGUUUUGGGGCUUUUUGAAGAAACUUCGGACACUCAGCUGCCUUGACAUUUUUCAGAGUAAGGCCAACGACGUCAUGCAUCAAGAGAGACAAUAGCUAAUUAAUAUGCUCACUCGCCACCCUGUGGUCUGGGGUGUGAAUUGCAACCUGUCAAAAUGACAGAUGGACUUCAGUUUUUUCCGUCACCGUUUUAAAAAAUCGGUCAACGACGGAAAAUAUUCGGUUAACGCGACCCCUGGUUUAAACGAUAUAUCGUUCAGGCUUAGACAUAAGGCUUACCUGUUUAAGUCCCAAGAUUUAAAAGGAGUUCGGCUUAGGUCUGAAAGAAUCUAUACACACUUUCUCAUGUAAAUCAAGUUUUUUUUAUAGGCCUCGUUUUGAAAAGUUUGGACUGACAAAAUACUGACAGCAUAAUUUCGGUUCCAACGUUGCAAUUAACAAUGGAUUUAAAACACUGACUGUGACCUCUUUGUAUGCAUACUUACCAAGGUACAACUGUAGUUACAGUGCCCUCCAUAAUUAUUGGCACCCCUGGUUAAGAUGUGUUUUUUAGCUUCUAAUAAUUUUUAUAUUCAAAUAAUAUGGGAACUUCAUGGAAAAAAAAGAAAAAUCCAACCUUCAAUACAAGUGCAUUUAUUCAGUGGGGAAAAAAUCCCACAUAAAGAAAUAAUUAUUUGACAUCAAAUAAUGUGUGUCACAAUUAUUAGCACCCCUGGUGUUAGUACUUUGUACAACCCCCUUUUGCCAUCAAAACAGCACCUAAUUUUCUCCUAUAAUGUUUCACAAGGUUGAUUUUGUGUCUGGUGAACCAUUUCUGUGUAGAUUAGGGCCAUUGUCUUGCUGAAAGACCCAGUGACGACCCAUCUUCAGCUUUUGGGCAGAGGGCAACAGAUUUUGAUUGAAAUGUCCUGGUAUUUCAAAGCAUUCAUGAUGCCAUGCACCCUAACAAGGUUCCCAGGGCCUUUGGAAGCAAAACAGCCACACAGCAUCACUGACCCACCCCCAUUCUUCACAAUGGGUAUGAGGUGCUUUUCAGCAUGCGCAUCUGAAGGGGAAUAUUGGAAUGUGUUGCUUUCAACCUAUCAAGCUGACUCCGCAAAAUAGUGAACAUAACAUGUUUUCUCGUCAAACCGUGUGAAGGGAAUGUGUUAUUCAACCUAUCAAGCUGACUCCGCAAAAUAGUGAACAUAACAUGUUUUCUCGUCAAACCGUGUGAAGGGAAUGUGUUAUUCAACCUUAUCAAGCUGCAAGGUACAGCCUGAAAGGGAGUAAGGAUUCUCGAAGGCCGUAGGCCGUGCGAAACGUCUAAGGGAGAUCCAAACAUUCUCAGAAGCCGUGUGAAACUCGAACGGGAGGGGAAGUUACGAGGCGCGGUACUUGCUAUAAAGAAGCGAUGGCGACAAGUACAAUUAGAGUCCGCUGUGGGAUUACGCGCGGUCGCCCAGCCUUGGUAUUUCUUCGCUCACUAUUACUGAGGACGCCCGGCUCUCCGUCCUUCCAGCACACGCCUGACAAUUGAUAAUGUGAUGUGGAGGCGGUUUAUUGGGACAUCUACUGGGAGAUCGCUACGGCUCUGCAUGGUGGAGGACGCUCGGGGAGUCCGGUGUCCAAGGAAGGUCGUCCCUGCUCCUCUGGACCCCCCCCCCCCUGCACCCCAGGAGUCAACAAUACAGGAAGGGUUCGCAGGGCUCCCAUGGUGGCUGCAGGAUGCCUCAUCACGGUCACGUCUGAAACACCUGUCGGUCGGUCUGUGGCAUCUCGACAACAAAACGUGUCACUCACGCAAUGGCACUGAGUGGAUGACCGAGGUCACGUCUGACCUAUGGAUCUCGAACAGCACGGAAGUUCGAGGGAUCGGAUGAAUUGCUCCUGUUCCUUUGGAUCCCCCUUCUGGUCCCUUUGCCCCCUUGUUUGCCCCCUUUGUCCCCAGAUUGAAGAAAACGCACACGGAGAUUCACUGGAUCGUCUUGUUUCCCCCUUUCCCCACAUGUGCCGCACGGAAACAGCGUGCAGGGUACGACACCCUUCUGGGUGGAACCGGAACAGUGUUAAGCAUCUCUAACACGAUUGAUGGAGAAGUCACCAGAACUAUGUUGUCUAACACCGGAAGUGACAUUGCGCACAAGACCGUAGGGCUUUGGAUGCCCACAUCUAUCGCGCCUCAUGAAGCGGCGUGUUUAUUCUUAGCACAAUUGUCAUGGGAUAAAGGGAUGUGGGAUGCAACACAAGAAGUAUUAACACCUAUAAUUGAUACAUGUACACCUUUGACACAAUCAGUGAUAACUACGAAAAUGCACUGGAAAGUUGUAUUCCCUGUUUUUCCAUCGUGUGCUCGGAGGAAGAGAGAAUGGUAUGACACAUUGUUAGGGGGAACGGGAACGUUAUUGGGGAUAUCUAAUACCGUGGAUAAUGAAGUAACGCGAUAUAAAUUAGCUGGGACCAGACAGGGAACUCAUGAUGCCUUACUAAAAGUAGGAAUGUGGCUUCCUUAUUCAAUCGUGGGACAAAAAGAAAUGUAUUUAAAAGGGAAUUAAACAUGUGGAACGCCACUAGUGAAGUGUUAACCAACGUAACUAAACAGCUAAACUGGAUCAUAUGUAGUAUACAACACUUACAUGCACAGGCGCAAAAAGAGCGUUUUGUACGAAUGAUGACUACAGGGAAUUACCGGGAGUGGCGAAGUGUUUGGAAUAUAUCCUCUGAGUUAUGGUUACAGUUACAUUCGGAAUAUACGAUUUGUAAUACGACCGAAUGUAGGGGAUAUUGGACACAAUACACAGUAACCUCAAACGUUACCGUAUGUAAAUUCCAGGUAUUACCCGUAAUAACUGAACUAGGCUAUUGGUUUUUGCAUAUAGAAGGUGAAUGGUUUAAUUCGGGAACGAACCAAACCUUUAAUACCGAUCUUUGCGAGAACACAGAUAAAGGACUAGCUUGUAAAUUGCAUCACGAAUUUGUUAAUCCUUGCUUAACAAAAGUAGACUUCGCCUUAUGCGAUUGGUCAAGGGAACCGAGUAGGGACAUUUUGUGGCAGGUGGGACCACAUACCCUUUGUGUGGCCACUGCCCAAAAUCACUCCAUGUUGCCAACGGUUCCAUUUGUAGGAUGCCUAUGUAAUGUUCGUUUCUUUCAGUGGGGAAACGGGACGUAUUGGUUGACAAAUUACACAGUUGCUAGCCGGUUUACGGCUGUGUAAUGGGAAGUGUUACAUACACCAUGGCAAAUCUCUUUGGAGCGUUUCAAAUGCGCAUUGGAACAAUCCACUGAGAUAAAGAAAUUGAUUAACACAUGCGUCCAAUGUUUCCCAGCUGAUGGUAUCAACAUUAAUGGCUAAAGGAGAAAUUUUGCAUGCUGCUAAAAUUAUUCAGCAACAAUCUGCUCAUCAUUGGUGGGACAUAUUUACAGGAUUAUCACAAACUGCUAGAGUAACGCUGCUUCCACCAAUGAUUUUAGUCUUAAUCGCUAUUGCUUUAACUACGCUAUGUAAUAUUGGAAUUUGUUGCUAUGUCAAACGUCUAGAGGACCAGGUUGCCCGGAAAAUAUUUCAUCAGUUAGAAUUAUGAGGGUACUGGUAGAAACAAUAGACUUAGACGGGGUAGAUGCAUGCGUAGUAACUAUAACUACUGAAGAAGGGGGGCAUAUCCUGGACUACCAAGAUAUGAGGGGUGGAUUCUUUUAUCGCCGUAUAGAGCGACACCCUGACCGUGUAAAUAUGCUUAUAGCCGCGGUGUAACCGACCAUCAUUCAUUUGUUUAUGCUAAUUUAUUAAUAAAUUAGAGUUGAUUUGGUUUAAAACACCAGGAGUGGAAUGUAAUGUUGUUUUUAACCUCAUCAACUAACAUCAAGCUGCAAGGUAACAUAAAUCGGAAUGUGUUAAGUUUGCACAAGGCCUAAUUAAUUAAUCAGGACUCGGCUUGAUGUGGUUGAAAGCACCAGGAGUGGAAUGAAGGGGAAUAUUGGAAUGUGUUGCUUUCAACCUAUCAAGCUGACUCCGCAAAAUAGUGAACAUAACAUGUUUUCUCGUCAAACCGUGUGAAGGGAAUGUGUUAUUCAACCUAUCAAGCUGACUCCGCAAAAUAGUGAACAUAACAUGUUUUCUCGUCAAACCGUGUGAAGGGAAUGUGUUAUUCAACCUUAUCAAGCUGCAAGGUACAGCCUGAAAGGGAGUAAGGAUUCUCGAAGGCCGUAGGCCGUGCGAAACGUCUAAGGGAGAUCCAAACAUUCUCAGAAGCCGUGUGAAACUCGAACGGGAGGGGAAGUUACGAGGCGCGGUACUUGCUAUAAAGAAGCGAUGGCGACAAGUACAAUUAGAGUCCGCUGUGGGAUUACGCGCGGUCGCCCAGCCUUGGUAUUUCUUCGCUCACUAUUACUGAGGACGCCCGGCUCUCCGUCCUUCCAGCACACGGUAAUGAGAUUUAUGUUAUUGCAUGUAAUCUAUGAGCUGAAAUACAUUUGUUGCUUGCUUGCUUGUACACUUUAUACUGUGGGUUAAAUAAAAUGUGCCGCUUGUUUAA